GAAUAAAUUGGGAAUAUCAUACUCCAUGGCAUCCACCUUCAUCAAGGAAGGUAGAAAAAAAUGAACCAAACUUUAAAGAAUCAUUUAAAUCGAUUUUGAAAACUUCAUUGCCUUGGACCAAGUGUCUCCCCAUUGCCCUGCUCAGAAUUCAAACUGCCCCUCAAAAAGACAUUACGUACUUGGUCUAUCUUCUAUUCGAACUGCCCCUCAAAAAGACAUUACAUACUUGGUCUAUCUUCUACUUUGUCUUCUCUUAGGACCCAAGGUCUCUUAGCACAAACACUGCCUCUUGAGUUCCCAGUGCAUCUGUAUCAAUCUGGAGAUUACGUCCUCAUCAAAAGCUGGAAAGAAGAAAAACUCGAACCAACCUGGGAGACCUUAUCUAGUGCCCCUAACCACUGAGACAGCAGUCUGGACCGUUAAGAAAGGGUAGACCCAUCACACUCAGCUACCCAGGAACAUUUUAUUUUAUCAAUGUAACCUGAUCAUCGUUUCCUCAAACAAUUACAUUUGAUGCUUGUCUUGUUAUGCCCUGUGGGGACCUACAAACCCAAAGGCAACUAGCCUCUUCAGCUCUUGUUUCUAACAUAGGCAAUAACAUACAGGACAUAGGAAUGGGCAAAGACUUCAUGACUAAAACACCAAAA
rnacentral:lncRNA from 1 species